AUGGCGCCGGGGUUCACCAAGUUUGAUGUGGAGAAAUUCGAUGGCACGGGUAACUUCGGUCUAUGGCAGACAAGAGUCAAGGAUAUUCUAGCGCAGCAGGGAAUCUUGAAGGGUUUGCAUGAGACGAAGCCGACCAAGGUUGACAAUGAUGCAUGGGAGGAUAUGCAAGUGCAGGCGGCCGCUACCAUACGGCUUUGUCUUGCGGAUCAGGUCAUAUAUCAUGUCAUGGACGAAGAUACUCCUAAGGGAAUUUGGGAUAAGUUGGAAAAUCGUUAUAUGUCCAAGUCAGCGACCAAUAAGUUGUAUUUGAAGCAAAAGUUCUAUGGGCUGAAGAUGCAGGAGGGGUCGGAUCUUGUGGAGCAUGUGAACGCCUUUAUCAAUUGGUCACGGAUCUAG
rnacentral:rRNA from 1 species